UGCGAAGGGUGCUAGCGUUGUUCGGAAUUACUGGGCGUAAAGCGCGCGUAGGCUGCCAUUCAAGUCAGGGGUGAAAUCCUUGGGCUCAACCCAAGAAUUGCCUUUGAAACUGUAUGGCUAGAGUGUCGGAGGGGAUAGCGGAAUUCCUAAUGUAGAGGUGAAAUUCGUAGAUAUUAGGAGGAACACCGGUGGCGAAGGCGGCUAUCUGGACGACAACUGACGCUGAGGCGCGAAAGCACGGGGAUCAAACAGG
rnacentral:rRNA from 1 species